AAACUUUACACUGCACGACAGUGCGAUAAGGGAACUCCGAGUGCGAGGGCAUAUAGUCCUCGCUUUUCUGCACCGUAAGGUGGUGCAGGAAUAAGAGCUGGGCAAGACCGGUGCCAGCCGCCGCGGUAACACCGGCAGCCCAAGUGAUGGCCGAUUUUAUUGGGCCUAAAGCGUCCGUAGCUGGCCGCGCAAGUUCGUCGGGAAAUCCACGCGCUUAACGUGUGGGCGUCCGGCGAAAACUGUGCGGCUUGGGACCGGAAGAUCUGAGGGGUACGUCUGGGGUAGGAGUGAAAUCCCGUAAUCCUGGACGGACCACCGAUGGCGAAAGCACCUCAGAAGGACGGAUCCGACAGUGAGGGACGAAAGCUAGGGUCUCGAACCGGAUUAGAUACCCGGGUAGUCCUAGCCGUAAACGAUGCUCGCUAGGUGUGGCACAGGCUACGAGCCUGUGCUGUGCCGUAGGGAAGCCGUGAAGCGAGCCGCCUGGGAAGUACGUCUGCAAGGAUGAAACUUAA
rnacentral:rRNA from 1 species